GGAACCCUUUAACAGCGAAACUGCGAAGGGCUCAUGAUGUAAGUUAUCGUUUAUUUGAUAGUACCUUACUACUUGGAUAACCGUGGUAAUUCUAGAGCUAAUACAUGCUGAAAAUCCCGACUUCGGAAGGGAUGUAUUUAUUAGAUUCAAAACCAAUGCCCCCUGGGCUCACUGGUGAUUCAUGAUAACUCCUCGAAUCGCACGGCCUUGCGCCGGCGAUGGUUCAUUCAAAUUUCUUCCCUAUCAACUUUCGAUGUUUGGGUAGUGGCCAAACAUGGUUGCAACGGGUAACGGAGGGUUAGGGCUCGACCCCGGAGAAGGAGCCUGAGAAACGGCUACUACAUCCAAGGAAGGCAGCAGGCGCGCAAAUUACCCAAUCCCGACACGGGGAGGUAGUGACAAUAAAUACUGAUACAGGGCUCUUUUGGGUCUUGUAAUUGGAAUGAGUACAAUUUAAAUCCCUUAACGAGGAACAAUUGGAGGGCAAGUCUGGUGCCAGCAGCCGCGGUAAUUCCAGCUCCAAUAGCGUAUAUUAAAGUUGUUGUGGUUAAAAAGCUCGUAGUUGAACCUUGGGCCUGGCUGGCCGGUCCGCCUCACCGCGUGUACUGGUCCGGCCGGGCCUUUCCCUCUGUGGAACCCCAUGCCCUUCACUGGGCGUGGCGGGGAAACAGGACUUUUACUUUGAAAAAAUUAGAGUGCUCCAGGCAGGCCUAUGCUCGAAUACAUUAGCAUGGAAUAAUGAAAUAGGACGCGCGGUUCUAUUUUGUUGGUUUCUAGGACCGCCGUAAUGAUUAAUAGGGACAGUCGGGGGCAUCAGUAUUCAAUAGUCAGAGGUGAAAUUCUUGGAUCUAUUGAAGACUAACUACUGCGAAAGCAUUUGUCAAGGAUGUUUUCAUUAAUCAGGAACGAAAGUUAGGGGAUCGAAGACGAUCAGAUACCGUCGUAGUCUUAACCAUAAACUAUGCCGACUA
rnacentral:rRNA from 1 species